rnacentral:rRNA from 1 species
CCUACGGGAGACUGCAGUGAGGAAUAUUGGUCAAUGGCCGUAAGGCUGAACCAGCCAAGUCGCGUGAAGGAAGAAGGAUCUAUGGUUUGUAAACUUCUUUUAUAGGGGAAUAAAGGUAUCCACGUGUGGAUAUUUGCAUGUACCCUAUGAAUAAGCAUCGGCUAACUCCGUGCCAGCAGCCGCGGUAAUACGGAGGAUGCGAGCGUUAUCCGGAUUUAUUGGGUUUAAAGGGUGCGUAGGUUGUUUUUUAAGUCAGCGGUGAAAGUUUGUGGCUCAACCAUAAAAUUGCCGUUGAAACUGGAAGACGUGAGUGUGUUUGAGGUAGGCGGAAUGCGUGGUGUAGCGGUGAAAUGCAUAGAUAUCACGCAGAACUCCGAUUGCGAAGGCAGCUUACUAAGCCAUAACUGACACUGAAGCACGAAAGCGUGGGGAUCAAACAGGAUUAGAUACCCCUGUAGUC